GCGACCUCAGGUCAGGCGGGGCUACCCGCUGAGU
rnacentral:rRNA from 5 species